rnacentral:rRNA from 1 species
UUUUAUGGAGAGUUUGAUCCUGGCUCAGGAUGAACGCUGGCGGCGUGCCUAAUACAUGCAAGUCGAGCGAACAGACGAGGAGCUUGCUCCUCUGACGUUAGCGGCGGACGGGUGAGUAACACGUGGAUAACCUACCUAUAAGACUGGGAUAACUUCGGGAAACCGGAGCUAAUACCGGAUAAUAUAUUGAACCGCAUGGUUCAAUAGUGAAAGACGGUUUUGCUGUCACUUAUAGAUGGAUCCGCGCCGCAUUAGCUAGUUGGUAAGGUAACGGCUUACCAAGGCAACGAUGCGUAGCCGACCUGAGAGGGUGAUCGGCCACACUGGAACUGAGACACGGUCCAGACCCCUACGGGAGGCAGCAGAAGGGAAUCUUCCGCCAUGGGCGCACGCCUGACG